rnacentral:rRNA from 1 species
UCGCGACGUAGUUUGAUCAUGGCUACGAGGACAACGCUGGCGGCGUGCCUAACACAUGCAAGUCGAACGGGGUAUUUCUUCGGAGAUACUUAGUGGCGAACGGGUGAGUAACGCGUGAGAAACCUGCCUUUCAGUGGGGGACAACAGUUGGAAACGACUGCUAAUACCGCAUAAUGUUAUUUGGGGGCAUCCCUGAAUGACCAAAGAUUUAUUGCUGAAAGAUGGUCUCGCGUCUGAUUAGCUAGUUGGUGAGGUAACGGCUCACCAAGGCGACGAUCAGUAGCCGGUCUGAGAGGAUGAACGGCCACAUUGGGACUGAGAUACGGCCCAGACUCCUACGGGAGGCAGCAGUGGGGAAUAUUGGGCAAUGGGGGAAACCCUGACCCAGCAACGCCGCGUGAAGGAAGAAGGCCUUCGGGUUGUAAACUUCUUUUACCAGGGACGAACACAAUGACGGUACCUGGAGAAAAAGCAACGGCUAACUACGUG